GAAAAGGAGGAUGUGAGGGACAUCUGUCACCCUAUUGAUUGCCAGGGUUGAUAUGGCUGAUCUGGCUGACUAGGUGGGUGUCCCUUUACUCCCUCAACCCUCCAUGUGUGUUUCUCCCAAAGACAAGCACUUUGUCCAAGAGGAUGACCACCCCCAAUAGAGAAGGACCAUUCCUGUAUACAAUUAGCUGUGCUCCCCUGCUAGAACCUCCAAACAAGCUCUCAAAGAAUAAAUCAAAAGGAAAUUGCAAAGUUGUUAGGACUGAAAAUUAAAACACACUUAUAUAAACUUGAUGGAAUUCU
rnacentral:snRNA from 1 species